AUUUUUGGGCUUAGUUAUUUGAUCUUAGUUUAUUUUGGGUAAUGUUUCUAGAAAAGUUUUGUAGUAUUUAGAGUGUCUAGAUAUUUCUUAAGAUUGUAAUAUUUUCUAGAAUAACUUUUGAAUGUCUAGAGUUGAGAAUUCUCAAGAAUUAGUAUGUCUAGAGUUCUCCUUAGAGUACUAUAAAUAGAGAUGUAAUCCUACAAUUUUGUAUCAAGCAAAAAUAUAUAGUUCUCUCUUCCAUAAAUAAUUAUCCUACCUAUCAAGUUU
rnacentral:lncRNA from 1 species